CCGGUGCCGCUCCAGCCUGGGCGAGAAGAAUUGCCAAGUCAGUUCCGGCAGAGAGCGCAGCGAGCUCGGGAGUGUGGCCUUCUUCGCCCCGGGCCCCUCACGGCCUCGGCCCGCGCCGGGUGAGCCCGAGGGGCCCGGGAGCAGCCUCGGUCCCUACUCUGCGGACGCCAGGAGCCCUCGCCCUCGAGGCAGCCACCGGCUAGGCCACGCGGCCAUUCCGCAGCGACUCUUGCCCUGCCAACGAUGCGCCUGCAUGGCGGCGGCCUCCCCGACUCCACCGGCGCCCUCUCUCCAGGGCCGGGCCCACCGAGGAGUCCCAGCCAGGCCUUCGAGGACGCCUCGAAAGUGGCGGCGAGCGUGGCAUGACGGGAAGAAUGGCAUCCACCUGAAGGCCAAGGCUGGGCCUUCGGGGCUUCUGCGGCCUAAGGCGGCGGGUCUGAGCAAGAACACUCUGCCAUCGCCGGCUCGGGACGGGAGGCCCACCCGUGGCCGAGCACGCAGACCUGGAUGAACCGAGGCCUCGAUGGGCCUGGACGAAGGUGAGCGGGGCCCCGAAUCACGGCGAGAGGAACGAUCGAUUCUUGGGCCGCGGGUCUUCCCUCCACCCGAGAGAAGCCGAGACGCGACAACCGCAGGCGGCCAUUCGGAAACGCUGUCGCCGUAGAAGUCCUGUGUAUAUAAUAUGAAAAAGCUGCUCUCAACCUUUCCCCCGACCCUUUUUAGACUUCUGGCUAAAUCUGGACGUCUAACUGUAGAGAUUGCCGACGCAGGGUAAAGGAGAGGUAGGAGAUGACGUGAAUACCCAGUCGCCAUAAAAAGAAGAUCGUGGACACGUCUUCUGCAAGUGAUUUUGAAAUGGAAUUGUUUAGGCCGCCUCUAGAAAGACCCAGGAGCGACACUCGUCCCUGUUUGUUCAGUACCUUAGAGGAUCCAGCAGGAGGAAGAAGAGGCCCGGAGCCAGAUUGGUCGUGUGAAGAAGACGUGUCUCUCUUUUUUAUCCUAUUGUAUUGUGUAUGCAUUUUAGUCCUCAUUUCUUACCCCCCACACCAUGUUUGCGUGUGUGCCUGUGUGUGUGUAUUUGAGUGUGUUUGAAAAUGCCAGGUUUUGGGGGUAAUGUCUUUCUAGCUGCUCUGAAGUGCCUGCCAUAUUUUAUAAGUAGUAAACAUGCUGUAAAUACCUUUUUGUUAGGAUUCAUUUGAAUUAUUGUUUGGAGAAGAAAAGCCAAACCUCUCCUGAGUUGACCGCAUUGUGUUUGUGCCCUGGUUCCCAGAAGGAAAUCCAGAGCUCUAAGCUACUGUGGUCCGUGAGUGGAAAGGAACCACUAUCUCCCACUAUCCCAUUUUGUUUGGCUUUUCUUUGUACAUAGUGUAUGUAAAGGACAAAGGGGUCCUAAUUUACAACAUCUAGUCACUCUAGAUGUUAAAGAGGUUGCCAGUGUAUGACAAAGUAGAGUUAGUAGAACAACACUUUUUUUUUUUUUUUUUUUUACAUUUUGUGUUAAAGUUGUAAUUACUCUUGUUACGUGUGCCAUUUACUGACUGCUGUGUAUAUAGUGGACAACAGUCCUUACUUGAAACAUCUGGUCUAUCUAGAUGUUUAGAAGUGCCCAACGUAUGUUAAAUGUAGAGGUAGUGAAAUAUCACUUUGUAAAUAUCUUUUUGCAAACACUCAUGAGUCGUUGUCUUUGGGGAGUGGGGUGAUGAGCCCUCUGAGCAGUACUGUCUUUACUUGCUCCGGGGUUUGGAGGAGGUGUUGGGAGGCAGUGACAACGGCCAUGUAGUGUGUGUGUAUAUGGGACCUUUUCAGAUGCCAUUUUUAUAUUCUUGCAUUUUGUUUUGCUGUGUGUAUACUGUAUAUAAUGGACAAAUAUGUCUAAAUUUUCAACAUCUAGACUCUAGAUGUUAAAGAGGUUGCCAAUGUAUGACAAAGUAGUAAAUUUAGCACAUAGUGUACACCGUUAAAAUUCAUAGAAAAUUUUGUUCUGUAAAUGGCUUGGGGAUAGGAUUUGCUCAGCUGUAUCUAAGCAUUACACAUACCUAUAUUUGUCUAUUGGUUUGAAGGGAGAAGAAAGUGGGUCGAAGCCCAAAUGGUUAUGUUUAGAAGAUACCUCAGAUAAUAACCAUUGCUUUGCAUACAGUUUUAUUUACCAGUGCCAUGUCAAUAGCAGAUAAGUUCUUACAUGAAACAUCUAGUCUUUUAGAUAUCUGAAAGUGCUUGAUACAUUUAAAGGUACAGGUAAUAGAAUAAUAUUUUGUGUAUAUAGUUUUUUUAAACUGGAGAAAUGCUGUGUGUAGAAGUAGAAUUGUUAGCCCGCCUCUGAGAACAGUGUACCGGCUGUGCUUGUUCAGUGGAUCAAGGAGGUGGGAGGGAAGGAACUGCAAAAAGAUUCCAUUUGUGUGCUAGACAUUUCUAGCUUACCCAUCCCCCUGUGUGUUGUGUGCAUCUCAUGUAACUUUGCUAUGCUGUAUAUAUUGUACAUACUGGACAAACGAGUCCUAUGAUAUCUAGUCUCUAGGUAUUAAAGAGGUUGCCAAUGUAUGACAAAAGUAGUUAGUAAACUCACACAUUCUGUAUACUCUGUUAGUUCAUAGCAAGGUUGUCUUCUGAAGAGUUGUGAAAGUGUAUCAUCCAAGUGACGAGUGACAUAGGCACCCGUGCCUAUGUCACGGGACACAAGAUGGGCUGAAGGGGAAGAAAGGUCGGAGACCAGAAUGUCCUCACCAGAAGACACUUGGAGAUCUAACUAGUUACAUGUGUGUGGUUUCAGUACUACUAUGUAUAUAGGGGACAAAUUCAUGUCCUCAUCUGAAACAUCUAGUCCUUCUAGGUGUUUAGAAGUGCACAAAGUAUGUUAAAAGUAGACAUAGUAAAUAAUACGUGUUGUAGAUUCUGUUUAAACUCAUGGUGAAGUGUUGUCUUUUGGAACUAGAAAGAGAAACUGCUUCUGAGCAAUGCAGCCUUGCUUGUGCAGGUCUAGGAGGGAGGAAGAAAAUGAAUGAAGAGCCUAAUGCUGAUGCAAGUUUGGUAAUACAAGGUUAUCCAUUGUUGCUUAUAUCUGUGCAUCUUACUUUGCAAUGUAUAGAAAACAUAGGUCCAAAUUUGCAGCACCCAGUCUUCCUAGACUGUAAAGGUGCCAGUGUGUGACAAAGUAGAGUUAGUGAAAAGACAUAUUUAUAGAUUAUGUUAAAAUUUGUAGGAAAAAAACCUUAAAACCACUUAGGAAGUGAAAUUGUUAAUAUUCCACAAAAACAUGACAGAUGCAUACACAUGGCCCCUGGGGGGAGAGAACUGGAAGAGGGGCUGGACCAGAACCUUGCUGUUUAGAAGGCAGUCUGACCACAGCCUUUGUUAGGUGUGCAGUGUAUUCACUGUGGUGUACACAUGCUGGGGAAACCAAAGUGCUUACUGGGAACAUCUGGUCUCCAGCCUUUUAGGUGCAUGAUAGACCUGAUGUGGUAAUGCAUGCCUUUAAUUCUAGGCUGAGGCAGGUGGAUCUCUGUUCUGGGUCAACCAGGGCUAUAGACUUUGUCUCAAAACAGUGAGAAAGUGUACAUAACGGAUUGGUAGGGUGGCUCAGCAUGUAAAGGUGCUUGCUACUAAGCUGGUGACCUGAGUUUGAUUUCCGGGAUCCACUUGAUAAAAGCGAUUCACAGCUUGUCUUUUAGCCUCCACACAAGUGCAGUGGCACAUGUGCACACAUGCAUACAGUAUUGCAUACAUGUAAAAAUAGAGGGCUGACACCACUUUGUUAACGAUGAUUUUGUUACAGGAAUGGUCACACUGGGGGAAUGGAGGUUAAGCUUGGCCUUUGAGCAGAUGCUGUUACCAGGUGAUGGAGGUGGGCUAGGGCAAAGCUUAGUGCUCAGAAAGAGGCACUGUAGCUGUUGGUUGGUUCGAGUUGUCUAGCCAUUGGUUGGGUGUGCAUUUCACUUAAUGUUGCCAGGUAGUAGAGGUAAGUCCCAGUGCCUAAAGGAUGUUAGAAGUAGCAAGAGUCACUAAAGGCCAGGCUCAUCUUUGGGGAGGGCUGUUUUCUUGGUGUGGCCUUUGUUAAUCCUCUCACUAGCAUCAUCUGCACUUAGGAGUUGUGCAGUGAAGAGGAUGGCUGAGGGAAAGGCUGCUAGUGCCUCUGUCCAGGGGACAGCUCUACCCAGGGGUCCUAUGUGCAUCGUGGUAAAAUCUUGUGUUCAUUAUGCACAGUUGUCAUCUGAAUGUUACAUCCUAAAGGAAAGCACAUGGUUAAGAGUAGAGCUAAUGGCUAUGGUGGAAUUGACAAAAGGGUUCCUCUUGAACAUGGAACUGCUAAGCCAUGUCUGGCCAGUGUGGGGAAAUUCAUGUUGCUAGGCUGACUGGAGGGACACAGGUUCACAGGAUGAGGUCUGCAGGUGUGUUGAGACUGACAUCCUGAGAGCCCCUACCGUAGGUGUGUCUCCCAGCUGCUCCGUGUGGAAUACAUUUGUUGAGUGGGAAGAUCCCUUCUACAUAUGCUAGUAUAUAGAUCUGGUGAUAAGCUUAGGAAUGCUAUACUUAGUGUGGUCUGUUGCUUUGUGUUUCCUUGUAAGCUGAGACUGAGCGAAUGCAGAAUUUAAUUGUAACUUUGCCAGUACAUCUAUCUAGAGGCCUGCUGCCAUUUUUGUCUUCUAUGAAAUUUCUGUUGCCAAGGAAGACAGGAUUACAAUUUUGUCUGACAGAUUGAGAUGGCAUGGUGUAUUCUUGGUUAUCAAAAUCCCUGUGUAGUGUGGGGUUUUUAAUUGGUGAAUAUUCACAAUGUGGGGAAAGCAUGGUACAUACUGUAUAAUCUCAAUUACCCAAGUGUGUGUACGCUUGCAGGAUCUAGAACAAUACAUCGAGCUGAGCUGCUUGUGACUGGGUGACUUUGUUCUUGCUUUCUUGUUUCCUGUAAUGCAUAUACUAAAAAAAUAAACAAAAGCUUCUUUAAAGACUU
rnacentral:lncRNA from 1 species